UCAUCUUCAAAGCCCUCAUCGCACAAGAAGACUAGUUUCAGAAAGGCUCGGGCACUUAUUGGCAAGGAAAUGGACUCCGAGGCAGAAUCAUAAGAAUGUGAUGAAGAAGAGGGUUCUGAUGAAGACUCAGAAUCCGGACAGGCUAGUCUUGCACUGGCAACCACUUUCGUCAGCAAGUCAAUCUUCAAUCUUGAAGAAAAUAAUUGCACCAUCCACACUGAUGACUAUGCUGAUGACUUCGCUCCAACCUAUUGCUUCAUGGCAAAAGGUUC
rnacentral:lncRNA from 1 species